GCGAUGAUAAGCGCUAUAGCGGACACGUGGAAUUAUGAUCCUCCUUUGUACACUGAGUUUCUUCGUUCACUCGCGUUUCUGUUGCUCCGAGGAUAGGGAUGAUUCUGAAGAUGAAGGUAUUCACCCCCCUAAGGUGCUUGUUUAAUUAUGCAUUGGCUUCAAGGCCUGGUUUUCAGGCCGAUCCAGUAAUUCUUUUGUAGGCCGAAGUAGCUGUUCGCCUUUGAUUUCCGUUCAAUCGCAGCCACCGUAAGUCCGCAACUGCACCUACGAGCAGUCCGCCGUCGCCACAGGUAUCUGUUAAAUCUGUUCAAUAUCACUGUUUCUGAGACGAGAGAGAUGGAGAGGGAGAGAGCGCGCGAUAAGGACGAGGAAUGGGCCUGAUUUCAGUGCCAGAAGUGAUGGUUCCAACUGGUUGGAGAAUUUUUGGGAACCUAAUGGAUGCAGGAAAAUUACCAGUUUGUGGAGUGGAGAGUUUUGGGACUGGCUCUGACCACAUUCUUGAGAAAGAUGGUGUAUGAUUUCACAGUGUUUAUCAAAGUGCAAGGACUUCACAGGAAGAGAGAAGCCAACUGUCAUUACAUAGAAGCACAUACUGCACUGGUAUUAUGUGCUUGACAGAAACCUCAUUGUGAGGAUUGUAGCAGGUUGCACCUUCCAUCUUUCUCCGAUGUGUUACAUGGCGUAUUAUUUUUUGUUCUUUUUGUUGCAUGAUAGCAUUAUAGCAAUAGUAAAGAAACUCCACAUGAAAAAUUUGUAUAAUUUAUCUAAUAAAAUUAUUUAUAUACUGUAUAUAUGUCAGUAAGUUCUCAUGAUCUCAACCAGAUCCCUAUUUUUAUAUAUGAUUCUCGUCUUCGUAAA